CAUAACUUCCUUAAUGUACUUGAAGAUUUCGAAAAAUUACUUUCAUCUUGUGAAUUUUAUUCUAUAGAUGAAGAGAUGACCGGUAUAUUUUUAUCGGGCAAGAGAGAAGAAGUUGGGGCGACUCCUGAACAAAACUGGGCUUUGAAAAGGGAAGUAGCUUCUACUUUUUCUAUUAUUCAAUUCGGCAUUUGCUUAUUUCAUAGAGA